GCGUUUUUAGUUUAAUGGAUAAAACAUCAAUCUUCUAAAUUGAAUACUGUGGGUUCGAGUCCUUCAAAACGCG
rnacentral:tRNA from 1 species